rnacentral:lncRNA from 1 species
AAACAAUGUAUAUUCACUUUUACUACCAACCAAUCUUUACCAUUCAGUGAUAACAAGCACUUUAUUUUACAUUUUAAUAUUUUAUGAUGUAUUUAAAGAGUAGUUAUUGUUGCAAACUCCAUUAGAAAUUUGAAUUGAUAUCAGUUUUGGAAAAAGGGAAACAGGGAUGUGAAAAAAAAAGGGGGGGGUUAAAUUUUUCUCAUUUCAGAUUUCAUAAAUAAAAAGAAAAUUUCUUCAAACAUUUUUUUGAGAGGAUUAAUAUUCAACAGCAUAGUGAAUUGCUCAAAGGCAAAAAAAAACUUUUAAGUUCAUUAGACC